rnacentral:rRNA from 1 species
AGCGAACGCUGGCGGCAGGCCUAACACAUGCAAGUCGAACGGAUCCUUCGGGAUUAGUGGCGGACGGGUGAGUAACACGUGGGAACGUGCCCUUUGGUUCGGAACAACUCAGGGAAACUUGAGCUAAUACCGGAUGUGCCCUUCGGGGGAAAGAUUUAUCGCCAUUGGAGCGGCCCGCGUCUGAUUAGCUAGUUGGUGAGGUAAAGGCUCACCAAAGCGACGAUCAGUAGCUGGUCUGAGAGGAUGAUCAGCCACAUUGGGACUGAGACACGGCCCAAACUCCUACGGGAGGCAGCAGUGGGGAAUCUUGCGCAAUGGGCGAAAGCCUGACGCAGCCAUGCCGCGUGAAUGAUGAAGGUCUUAGGAUUGUAAAAUUCUUUCACCGGGGACGAUAAUGACGGUACCCGGAGAAGAAGCCCCGGCUAACUUCGUGCCAGCAGCCGCGGUAAU